rnacentral:rRNA from 1 species
AUGUUCCGCAUGUUCCAGGAGCUUGCACCACAUGACCCACGCGACAAGUGUGGUCACCACUAUGCGAUCUGUCUUGACCUGAAGAACCAACGUUUCGAGGUGCUUGAUUCAACCCGUUCGAAAGCUGAUGCAGACCUUACUACGCAUGCCAAAUUCUUCAUUAACAACCUCAAAGAUACAUGGAACCGUCACUACGAACAUUCAAAGGUCCAGAUCAGGCAUUUCCCGACUGAGUAUGUGGCGACUGCGAAGCAAGGGAACACGUCGGACUGUGGCUUUCACGCGCUGGAAUACUUUGCAAAGUGGGAAGGCUGA